rnacentral:rRNA from 1 species
GAUUCAAGCUACUUUAAGAGCAAAUGGUGGAUGCCUUGGUAUCUGGAGCCGAAGAAGGACGUAGCAAUCUGCGAUAAGCCUCGGGAAGCUGAUAAGCGAGCUUUGAUCCGAGGAUUUCCGAAUGGGGAAACCUGGUGGGGCGCAGCAAUGCGACCCUGUCACUCCCGCCUGAAUAUAUAGGGCGGGCAGAGGGAACGUGGGGAAGUGAAACAUCUCAGUACCCACAGGAAGAGAAAGCAAUAGCGAUUCCGUUAGUAGUGGCGAGCGAAACCGGAACAGGCCAAACCGAUUGAGUGUUAUAGCCGGCAGGCGUUUCUUGAUCGGGGUAGUGGGAUCCUCUAUGUGGUUCUGCCGAACCACACGCGUAGUGCAGGGGUAUAGGUGAAUGAUUUUGAACAGUCAACCGAAGAGGGUGAUAGUCCCGUAAUCGAAAUGCCCCGGUACCGCGAGAGGAUAUCCCAAGUAGCACGGGCCCCGUGAAAUCCCGUGUGAAUCUGUCAAGACCACUUGAUAAGCCUAAAUACUACCAGAUAACCGAUAGUGGACGAGUACCGUGAGGGAAAGGUGAAAAGUACCCCGAGAGGGGAGUGAAAUAGUACCUGAAUCCAUUUGCUUACAAACCGUCGGAGCAGUGUGCGACUUCUGUCGCUUGUGACGGCGUGCCUUUUGAAGAAUGAGCCUGCGAGUUAGCGAUGUGUGGCGAGAUUAACCCGUUGGGGGUAGUCGUAGCGAAAGCGAGUCUGAAUAGGGCGAAUUAGUCGCAUGUCCUAGACCCGAAGCGAAGUGAUCUAUCCAUGGCCAGGCUGAAGCGAGGGUAAGACCUCGUGGAGGGCCGAACCCACUUAGGUUGAAAACUGAGGGGAUGAGCUGUGGAUCGGGGUGAAAGGCCAAUCAAACUUCGUUAUAGCUGGUUCUCUCCGAAAUGCAUUUAGGUGCAGCGUUGCGUGUUUCUUGCCGGAGGUAGAGCUACUGGAUGGCCAAUGGGCCCUACAAGGUUACUGACGUCAGCCAAACUCCGAAUGCCGGUAAGUUAGAGCGCAGCAGUGAGGCUGCGGGGGAUAAGCUUCGUAGCCGAGAGGGAAACAACCCAGACCACCAAUUAAGGUCCCUAAGUGUGUGCUAAGUGGUAAAGGAUGUGGAGUUGCACAGACAGCCAGGAGGUUGGCUUAGAAGCAGCCACCCUUGAAAGAGUGCGUAAUAGCUCACUGGUCAAGUGAUUCUGCGCCGACAAUGUAACGGGGCUAAAGCACAUCACCGAAAUUGUGGCAUCGAUACACAUAGGUAGGCUUUCGUAGUCCAGCCGUAUCGAUGGGUAGGAGAGCGUCGUGUGGCGAAAGAAGCGGCGAUGUAAAUCAGCCGUGGACGCUACACGAGUGAGAAUGCAGGCAUGAGUAGCGAAAGGCGGGUGAAAAACCCGCCCCCCGAAUAACUAAGGGUUCCAGGGCCAGGCUAAUCCGCCCUGGGUAAGUCGGGACCUAAGGCGAGGCCGAGAGGCGUAGUCGAUGGACAACGGGUUGAUAUUCCCGUACCGGCAAAGAACCGCCCAUAUUCCGCGUAGUUUCGUUCAGCAUUUUGCUGUGCUUACGGUACCCCUUUUACGGUGUGCGGGAUAAGUGUUCAGGUGUGACGCAGGAAGGUAGCCAAGCCGGGCGAUGGUUGACCCGGUGUAAGUGUGUAACCCGGAGGGUAGGCAAAUCCGCCCUCCAUCUAAAGGGCCAGGCACGACGCGUAGCGCUUCGGCGCGAAAUUGGUGAUCCUAUGCUGACUAGAAAAGCAUCGACACAAGGUUCUAGCUGCCCGUACCCCAAACCGACUCAGGUGGUUAGGUAGAGAAUACCAAGGGGAUCGAGAGAAUCGUGGUUAAGGAACUCGGCAAAAUGCCUCCGUAACUUCGGGAGAAGGAGGGCCUGAGGCGUGACGAGACUAGCUCUCCUAGCGCUGCAGGGUCACAGAAACCAGUGGGGAGCGACUGUUUAUUAAAAACAUAGGUCUGUGCCAAGUCGUAAGACGACGUAUACAGACUGACGCCUGCCCGGUGCCGGAAGGUUAAGAGGACGGGUCAGCUUUGGCGACGCUCGGAAUUUAAGCCCCGGUAAACGGCGGUGGUAACUAUAACCAUCCUAAGGUAGCGAAAUUCCUUGUCGGGUAAGUUCCGACCUGCACGAAUGGCGUAACGACUUCCCAACUGUCUCAACCGCGAACUCGGCGAAAUUGCACUACGAGUGAAGAUGCUCGUUACGCGUAGCAGGACGGAAAGACCCCGAGACCUUUACUAUAGCUUGGUACUGGUACUUGGUGCGGUUUGUGUAGGAUAGGUGGGAGACUGUGAAGCGGGUGCGCCAGCACUCGUGGAGUCGUUGUUGAAAUACCACUCUGAUCGCCCCGGGUGUCUAACUUAGAACCGUAAUCCGGUUCGAGGACAAUGCCUGGUGGGUAGUUUAACUGGGGCGGUUGCCUCCCAAAAGGUAACGGAGGCGCCCAAAGGUUCCCUCAGCCUGGUCGGUAAUCAGGUGGCGAGUGUAAGUGCACAAGGGAGCUUGACUGCGAGACUGACGGGUCGAGCAGGGACGAAAGUCGGGACUAGUGAUCCGGCAGUGGCUUGUGGAAGCGCUGUCGCUCAACGGAUAAAAGGUACCUCGGGGAUAACAGGUUGGUCCCUCCCAAGAGUCCAUAUCGACGGAGGGGUUCGACACCUCGAUGUCGGCUCGUCGCAUCCUGGGGCUGUAGCAGGUCCCAAGGGUUGGGCUGUUCGCCCAUUAAAGCGGUACGCGAGCUGGGUUUAGAACGUCGUGAGACAGUUCGGUCCCUAUCCGCUACGCGCGUCGGAAAUUUGAGAGGAGCUGACCCUAGUACGAGAGGACCGGGUUGGACGAACCUCUGGUGUACCAGUUGUCCUGCCAAGGGCACGGCUGGUUUGCUACGUUCGGAACGGAUAACCGCUGAAAGCAUCUAAGCGGGAAACCGGCCUCAAGAUGAGAUUUCCAUGCCCUUUUGGGCGAGAGGCUCCCAGUAGAACACUGGGUUGAUAGGCUCGAUGUGUACGCAGGGACUAAAGACCUGUUUAGCUUACGAGUACUAAUAGGCCGAUUGCUUGAAACACA